UGGGCUGCUAAGGGUCGGAGCAGCGCGGCGAUGCUCUCUGGACGAUGGGUUUGGACAACAAAAGUGGAGUUUGUUCUUACCUGAGGGGGGAAAAAAAGAGAAACUCAUCAAGUGACAGAUUUUCGGUACGAAAGUCACCACAACCAGCAUAAACAAAGACUGAGAUGACAAUGCUACAAAAUCCUCAUAGAAAUAUAACUCUCUCUCUCUCUAUAUAUAUAUAUAUAUAUGCAGUAUAUAUAUGAUAAACAUGGAGGUAUAUAUACAUAUAUGUAUACCAUACAAAAUGGUCAACAAACAGAUGUAUACUACAACAUGGUGGACAAUGGUGUAAAAAUUACAAACCGCAAAGCUGUAUAUUAUUGCUGCUGCUGCUGCUGCUGUACAUUCAUGUACUUCAUCUUCUCCUGCAUAAAUGUAUUUAUGUUUUAAAAAAACUAUUUAUAUGUUUAUAAAAGAGAUAUUUAUAAA